ACUUUAAUUGAAGAGUUUGAUCAUGGCUCAGAUUGAACGCUGGCGGCAGGCCUAACACAUGCAAGUCGAGCGGUAACAG
rnacentral:rRNA from 1 species